rnacentral:tRNA from 1 species
GGUAAUGUAGCUCAGUGGUAGAGCUCUUGCCUAACAUGCCAAGGUCCUGGGUUUGAUUCCCAGCAAAACCC